rnacentral:rRNA from 1 species
GACGAACCGUCCGAACGUUAUUCGGAAUCACUGGGCUUAAAGGGUGCGUAGGCGGCGCGGAAAGUUGGGUGUGAAAUCCCUCGGCUUAACCGAGGAACUGCGCCCAAAACUACCGUGCUUGAGGGAGAUAGAGGUGAGCGGAACUUAGGGUGGAGCGGUGAAAUGCGUUGAUAUCCUAAGGAACACCGGUGGCGAAAGCGGCUCACUGGAUCGCUUCUGACGCUGAGGCACGAAAGCUAGGGUAGCGAACGGG